rnacentral:rRNA from 1 species
GACGAACGCUGGCGGCGUGCCUAACACAUGCAAGUCGAGCGAAUGAAGUUCCUUCGGGAACGGAUUUAGCGGCGGACGGGUGAGUAACACGUGGGCAACCUGCCUCAUAGAGGGGAAUAGCCUUCCGAAAGGGAGAUUAAUACCGCAUAAGAUUGUAGUACCGCAUGGUACAGCAAUUAAAGGAGCAAUCCGCUAUGAGAUGGGCCCGCGGCGCAUUAGCUAGUUGGUGAGGUAACGGCUCACCAAGGCGACGAUGCGUAGCCGACCUGAGAGGGUGAUCGGCCACAUUGGGACUGAGACACGGCCCAGACUCCUACGGGAGGCAGCAGUGGGGAAUAUUGCACAAUGGGGGAAAACCUGAUGCAGCAACGCCGCGUGAGUGAUGACGGCCUUCGGGUUGUAAAGCUCUGUCUUCAGGGACGAUAAUGACGGUACCUUAGGAGGAAGCCACGGCUAACUACGUG